UACGUAGGGAGCGAGCGUUGUCCGGAAUUACUGGGCGUAAAGGGCGCGUAGGCGGGAACUUAAGUUAGAUGUGAAAACUCCGGGCUUAACCUGGAGACUGCAUUUAAAACUGGGUUUCUUGAGGGCAGGAGAGGAAAGUGGAAUUCCUAGUGUAGCGGUGAAAUGCGUAGAUAUUAGGAGGAACACCAGUGGCGAAGGCGGCCUGCUGGAAGGUGACUGACGCUGAGGCUCGAAAGCGUGGGGAGCAAACAGG
rnacentral:rRNA from 1 species